UCUUCAUUUCUAUACCUUCUUUUAUCUGAGGAGCUUAAGCCAUUUUGUAGAGGCAUUAAGUAUUGCCUCAGUCUUAAUAUGUGAGACAAGGUGUGAGGAAUAUAGAGAUUCAUAAAAUAAUCCCCAUCUUCAAGGAACUCACAGUCAGGAAGAACAGAGCCUGCAACACAAAUAAUUGCAAUAUAGUAGAAGUGCCAAUAGGAGCUCUAUGAAGGGCGUGAAACAGGAAAGGCUACAUAGAGGAGAUGGCAGACACUCUGUGGAUUGUGACCUGUUGGUGGGCCAUGAAAUCAAUUUGGGGGUUUGAGAGCAUCAUUCUUUUAAUAAAACAGAAGAGAAUCAUCUGCAAUAAGGAACCCAUGGAUGAAUACCAUCUGGUCCUGGUGAUUUACUGCACAGAGUCCCUCAAGUUGCUCCAUACCUUUCUCCUGAGAGACUGAAGAAUCUCUGUCAAGGCCGUUCUCUGCUUUGCCAUAAAAUGUGUCCUUGGAACAAGAAUUUCCCCAUUGUCUUCUUCAAUAAAUACUGAUUCAAAGUAUUCA
rnacentral:lncRNA from 10 species